AUUGAAAUCCGUUAUCUUCUCCGUUCACCCCUCAUUUGAUUCAAAAAUUGAAUUGAAUCUCUUCAAGAAUAAUCACUUUAAAAACUCCGGCACCAACACUCUUUCCAUAUUAUUUUCAUUUCUCUUGCUUUUCUAUGAAGACAUAGGCAUUGCUUGUGAUCGUAUUCCGCCGUCACCAUUCGUUUUCCCCUUCCCCACCGUUAUCCGUUUGAUAGGGUUCGCCAUCCCCACUGCCACAUUCUACUUCAUUAGACUCCAUCUUAGAUCGAUUGUUUUUCCGGUAAGUCACAUCGCCAUCGUUACUCUUUUGCGUUCUGCUUUGCCAUCGACUUGCUUUUCUUCUUGGUGUGUUCAGUUUACUUGGAUUCACCAAGGUACCACUUAAUCUUCAUAUUUGGUAACACUUUUCUAUUAUAGAAUGAUCAAUAAUCUGGUUCUAUGCACUAUGUUCUAAAGAAAACCCUAAACAUAGAUCUAUUAUACAUUCAUUUUACCAAUCUUGAAGUUGUGUAUAUAUCUCAUGGUACAAGUCUAUAAUCGAAUCAUUUUAUAUUGAUUUGAUUUUAUUGCUAAUUUCAUUCAUCUCAGACCUUUCAUGCCCCAUUAUCGCCCCUAGCAAGUCAUUAUUGUUUUGACUUGGUUCAUCGCCCCAGUGAUUACAUUAUAGAUUUCAUUUUUCAUGUUUUUGUUGUUUUUAUUUCUCAUAUUUCUUUGUUAUUAUCAUUUCCUAGGUACAAAUCUUGACCCUCUUUCCUUAUUCGUUCAAAUAUAAGUAAGAACAAAGUGUAUCUCUUUUGUUUCAGUGUUUGAAUGUGUGUGUGGCAGGGGCAUGUGUAUCUGUGUGUGUCUAUGAAUAUUCUUGAUUUUUGGCAUGAUAUCACAACCAGGUGUUUAGUAGCUUCAAAAUUUGAUAGUGAGCUAAUGUAAUCAGAGUGGGAAGCACAGGGAGAGUGAUCAAGGUUUGAUUCCUCUUUUUUCCGGCUUAAGGAUUGAUUCCUCUUUUUUUUUCCUAAUGGUAUUUUACGUAAUAAAUUUUGAUUUUAUGGGGGAUUAUAUCAAAUCCCAUAAAAUCAGGCCCCACUUAAUUUUAGGCAUUGAAAUGGUAAUUUUGAUGCAUUUUCUUUGUUUAUAUUGUUUUCCCCUUUCUCGUGCCUAUGCAAUUGUAAAUGAUUCAUUGGUUUUGUUGCAAAUAUGUUUCCUCUCUGCCACUCACACACACUACCACAGAUCUGGUACUUUCUCUCAACCAACUUCUCUAUCUAUUUCUAUAAAGUUUCAUUAAUUUUGAUUUUUUUUCCUUUUGUUGUUUGAUUUUUAACUACGGAUUUGUAGGUUAAAGGAAAAACUUUUUGGGGAAGGCAGAUAUAUAUCUCUCUCUAUUACCGAACUUGAUUAUGAUUUAAGCUAUAUUUUGCUUCUUUAAUUCAAUCAUGACUUUAGGAUGCAAUUAUCUUUGAUGAGGGGUCAGGAAAUGUGUUCAAUGGAUCGAGGCCAAGCAACAAUAAAAAUAAGAAGAAAUUGUUGGCCUGUUAAGUCGUAAAGAAAAUAGAUUGAUGCUCUAGAUAUGGUGCUUGAUUAAGUAAAAGAGGCAUGGUUUAUGGUUUUCUAGGGAGCAGGUAGGCCUUUCUUUGCAGCACUACAAAUGGUUUAUUUUUGGAAUUCAACCUAAUUUUUGUCACUUAAAUGAUUCUAUUGGGCUUGCUGCAUCUUUGGUGUUGAUUUGUUACUUGAGCCUACUAUACGAUUUGAAGUCACAACCUGGAGGAAGUUGGGUCUUAUCUGAUGAACGAAAUUGGAACAGUCAAGAAAAUCAUAUGAGGGCAUUAAAGGAAUUAGUGAAGUUCUAAGCAUUAAUAAUAGGAUAUAUGGUGACAAACCAAGCACUGCUAUUUCUUCUUCAAGCUUACAUGAAUAUGGGAAAAAAACAUGUAGGCUUCUAUAUAUAUAUAUAUAUAUAU